UUGGACUCACUUCUGCACAUGUAAUAAAAUUAGAAUGAUGGAGUGAAGAUUAGCCUGACAUCUGCACAAGGAUGACAUGCAAAUUUGUGAAGUGCUCCAUGUUUUG
ensembl:snRNA U6 U6 spliceosomal RNA